CGUCACAUACUCAGUUGCUCUAAUUGGUUGUAGGUCUAUCCGUUGCUCUGAUUGGUUGUAGGUCUAUCCUUUGCUCUGAUUGGUUGUAGGUCUAUCCUUUGCUCUGAUUGGUUGAAGCUCUAUCCUUUGCUCUGAUUGGUUGUAGGUCUAUCCGUUGCUCUGAUUGGUUGUAGGUCUAUCCAAUUGAGUGCAGAGGCGUUUUCUUUCCUGGUUUGGUUGAAACACGCCCCAUAAUCACAGCCCAAUGGAGCACUAUGAGACUGAGUACGACCACGUCAGGCUAC